UUACGGUCAUAUCAUGUCGAAAUACCAUUUCUUGUAGGAUCACAGAAGUUAAGCAACGCUGAGCCUGGUCAAUACCUGGAUGGGUGACCGCUUGGGAAUACCAGAUGCUGUAAG